GUUUUUGAUGGGAUUCUUUGUUUUUUCCUUGCUAAUUUGUUUGAGUUCAAUGUAGAUUCUGGAUAUUAGUCCUUUGUCAGAUUCAUAGAUUGUGAAGAUUAUCUCCCACUUUGUGAGUUGUCUGUUUACUCUGCUGACUGUUCCUUUUGCCAUACCAAAGCUCUUUAGUUUAAUUAGAUCCCA